rnacentral:rRNA from 1 species
AUGAGCCAGGAGUUUGAUGAUCAUCUGAAGAAUCGUGGAAUAGUUCCACAACUGACUCCUCCGGGUACACCACAGAGAAAUGGUGUGUCAGAACGGAGGAAUCGGACCCUGUUGGACAUGGUCCGAUCGAUGAUGAGUCAGUCGGAUUUACCCUUGUCAUUUUGGGGAUACGCUCUAGAAACUGCAGCUUUCACACUAAACAGGAUACCAUCUAAGUCCGUAGAUAAGACACCAUAUGAGAUAUGGACUGCGAAGAGUCACAGUUUGUCUUUUCCGAAAAUUUGGGGAUGUGAAGCAUAG